CCCGCCCCGCAUGGGGAAGCGGAAAGAGCGGGCUCUGGCAUGAGACACCAGUGGGGAGACAACGGCGUGACUGGCCGGGCGCCCCUCCUAGAAAUGGUGGGGCAGGCCUCGGGAGGACCCUCGGUGCCAAGUUCUGGGUUAAUGGCUCUGAUUCUCAGACCAGGCAAACAGAGCCCACCUUCGCGAUAAACUGGACCCAAGCUAUCCAGGAAAGGACGUAGCAACGAAAAGAAAAAGAAAAUGCCCAGGGUGCAUCUGAGCGGUGGGAUGGUAGGAGGCAGGCCGAAAGAAAGGAAUAGCUUGAGGGAAAGCACCAACCAGUUCCUCCCUGCAGCCCCCGCCCAGCACAGUCCUGACAGUCCAUCAAAAAUGACACCGUUCUCUGGCUUCCCCCGAAGCACCGUUACUUCAGUUAAUUCAAGAGAAACUGUAAAUGUCCAUGACGAAAUUCAUCUUUCUCAUCUCUCUAAGAAGUUGGAGUUUGAGUCUAGAACAUUUUAGCUACUAUUUACCUUAAAUCAUUCCCUUGCCUUUAGCAAGCCUGGACAGUCUGGAGUUCUAUUAGAGGCGUACAGUCGACUUGUCUGCGCUACGAAGAUGAAGAUACCAAACAGCAGGAUAUGUAACAAUGAAAACACUCUGGUAUCCUUAUUGGGACAAUGAAGAAAAUUUUUCUCAAGACCAUGCAUUGGAAAAUGAUAAGCCUUAAAUACCAAAGGCAUGAUUUUAAAUCUUGCUGGAUGGAACUGCCACUCACCGC